GACGAACGCUGACGGCGUGCUUAACACAUGCAGGUCGAGCGGAAAGGCUCCUUCGGGGGUACUCGAGCGGCGAACGGGUGAGUAACACGUGAGUAAUCUGCCCUGGACUCUGGGAUAGCCACCGGAAACGGUGAUUAAUACCGGAUAUGACCACUUUAGGCAUCUGAGGUGGUGGAAAGUUUUUCGGUCCAGGAUGUGCUCGCGGCCUAUCAGCUUGUUGGUGAGGUAAUGGCUCACCAAGGCGUCGACGGGUAGCCGGCCUGAGAGGGUGACCGGCCACACUGGGACUGAGACACGGCCCAGACUCCUACGGGAGGCAGCAGUGGGGAAUAUUGCACAAUGGGCGCAAGCCUGAUGCAGCAACGCCGCGUGCGGGAUGACGGCCUUCGGGUUGUAAACCGCUUUUAGUAAGGAAGAAGCUGCAAGGUGGCGGUACUUGCAGAAAAAGGACCGGCUAACUACGUGCCAGCCGCCGCAGUAACAC
rnacentral:rRNA from 1 species